rnacentral:rRNA from 1 species
GUGGGGAAUAUUCCGCAAUGGACGAAAGUCUGACGGAGCAACGCCGCGUGAGUGAUGAAGGUUUUCGGACUGUAAAGCUCUGUUGUUUAGGACGAAAGUGCCUGUUGCAAAUAGUUACAGGUAUUGACGGUACUGAACGAGGAAGCCACGGCUAACUACGUGCCAGCAGCCGCGGUAAUACGUAGGUGGCAAGCGUUGUCCGGAAUUAUUGGGCGUAAAGAGCAUGAAGGCGGGAAUCUAAGUCUGUUGUGAAAAUGCGGGGCUCAACCCCGUAUUGCGAUGGAAACUGGGUUUCUUGAGUGCAGGAGAGGAAAGGGGAAUUCCCAGUGUAGCGGUGAAAUGCGUAGAUAUUGGGAGGAACACCAGUGGCGAAGGCGCCUUUCUGGACUGUGUCUGACGCUGAGAUGCGAAAGCCAGGGUAGCGAACGGGAUUAGAAACCCGAGUAGUCC